CAGAGCUCAUGCCCUUACGGGUAGAACUCCCACCCUUGCUUAUUAUACCUCUGUUGCUUUGGCAGGCCGACUCCUGGAGCCAUCGGCUCUGCUGAUGUGUGCCUGCCAGAGAACCCUCAAUUCUGUAUCAUUGGUGUCGUCUGAGUACUAUAUAAUAGUUA
rnacentral:misc_RNA from 1 species